AGUGAACGCUGGCGGUAGGCCUAACACAUGCAAGUCGAACGGCAGCACCGUAAGAGCUUGCUCUUACGGGUGGCGAGUGGCGGACGGGUGAGGAAUACAUCGGAAUCUACUUUUUCGUGGGGGAUAACGUAGGGAAACUUACGCUAAUACCGCAUACGACCUACGGGUGAAAGCAGGGGAUCUUCGGACCUUGCGCGAUUGAAUGAGCCGAUGUCGGAUUAGCUAGUUGGCGGGGUAAAGGCCCACCAAGGCGACGAUCCGUAGCUGGUCUGAGAGGAUGAUCAGCCACACUGUAACUGAGACACCGUCCCGACUACGACGGGAGGCAGCAGUGGCGAAUAUUGGACAAGGGGCGCAAGCCUGAUCCAGCCAUACCGCGUGGAUGAAGAAGGCCUUCGGGUUGUUAAGCCGAUUUGUUGAGAGAGAAAAGCAACAGGUUAUAACCCCGCGUUUAUGACGGUACCCAAAGAAUAAUGAACGUCUAACUUCGUG
rnacentral:rRNA from 1 species